AAGAAGCAACACGGGUGCCGAGAUCCCCAUUGUUCCUUUCUGUCCUAGGACGGAGGAGAUGGGGAAUUAACUCGAGCUGAGAUUAUACCGUCGUUAGCGGAUCAGGAUAAUGCCUGCGUCGCUAGUUGCUUUUGAAUAAUG
rnacentral:ncRNA from 1 species